CUUUUUAAAAAAAAUCUCAGCAUAUUUCUUCAGCAAUUCAAUCUGAAUUUCAUACUUUUUAUGAUUUUUUUUUUGUGUGAAAAAUGUGCAUGAAAUUACACCAGGGUAAAAAUCCUCUGAUAAAAUGAUGUUUUUUUUUCACCCACACACAUGUAUAAAGGUGACAUGGCCUUAUAUGGUAAUCACAUACAGUCUAAACAUGUCUAAAGAGACAAGCCACUGAGAGAGAAUCAAGAAGCGGUUGAUAUCCCUUACCCGGCUAAAUUUCUAUAAUGAACUUGUCCAUCUUAUAAUUUGGACCGUACCAUUAACGGUUAAAAGGGGUGUUGACCAAAAAAGAUACCAACUGAAUGGCGAACAGUGCAGAAUCAAUCCUGUCGACCAUGAUAAGGGAUAAACAUCAAAUGUUUCAAUCGCACAUGAAAUUAUGUGGUCUUAUAGUCAGGUGAUCUCUGUACAUAGCUUCGACUGUAUGUUCUAUAGCUCUGAUACAUGGUGAUACACAAAUGAUCACAAAACAUUGAUUUCUAAUUUUUUUUUUUAAAUUUCAAACUUCUCUUAUAUUCACAUCAGAUAGAAUCCCUUCAUUUUUUAUCCAUUUAAUAAUAAAAUUUUAAAGGCAUAAAUAAAUAAAAAUUUCUUACCGUCUCAUAAUUUCGAAAGUUUUUGAAACUUAAUUCUAUCUUUGCCUAUAAAAAGGACUUUAUCUAUAUAAU